UACAGAGGGUGCAAGCGUUGUCCGGAAUUACUGGGCGUAAAGGGCGCGUAGGCGGCCCGGUAAGUAGGAGGUGAAAUCUCACGGCUCAACCGUGAAACUGCCUUCUAGACUGUCAGGCUUGAGCACGGUAGAGGCAGAUGGAAUUCCCGGUGUAGCGGUGGAAUGCGUAGAGAUCGGGAAGAACACCAGUGGCGAAGGCGGUCUGCUGGGCCGUUGCUGACGCUGAGGCGCGACAGCGUGGGGAGCAAACAGG
rnacentral:rRNA from 1 species